rnacentral:rRNA from 1 species
AGAGUUUGAUCUGGCUCAGAUUGAACGCUGGCGGCAGGCCUAACACAUGCAAGUCGAGCGGCAGCACAGAGGAACUUGUUCCUUGGGUGGCGAGCGGCGGACGGGUGAGUAAUGCCUAGGAAAUUGCCCUGAUGUGGGGGAUAACCAUUGGAAACGAUGGCUAAUACCGCAUGAUGCCUACGGGCCAAAGAGGGGGACCUUCGGGCCUCUCGCGUCAGGAUAUGCCUAGGUGGGAUUAGCUAGUUGGUGAGGUAAUGGCUCACCAAGGCGACGAUCCCUAGCUGGUCUGAGAGGAUGAUCAGCCACACUGGAACUGAGACACGGUCCAGACUCCUACGGGAGGCAGCAGUGGGGAAUAUUGCACAAUGGGCGCAAGCCUGAUGCAGCCAUGCCGCGUGUAUGAAGAAGGCCUUCGGGUUGUAAAGUACUUUCAGUCGUGAGGAAGGUGGUGUUGUUAAUAGCAGCAUCAUUUGACGUUAGCGACAGAAGAAGCACCGGCUAACUCCGUGCCAGCAGCCGCGGUAAUAC